rnacentral:rRNA from 1 species
ACAGGGGGGGCGAGCGUUGUUCGGAAUUACUGGGCGUAAAGGGUUUGUAGGUGGCUUGCUCAGUCAGACGUGAAAUCCCUCAGCUUAACUGGGGAACUGCGUCUGAUACUAGCGAGCUUGAGUGCAGGAGAGGAACGCGGAAUUCCAGGUGUAGCGGUGAAAUGCGCAGAUAUCAGGAGGAACACCGGUGGCGAAGGCGGAUCUCUGGGCCAUUACUGACGCUGAGGAGCGAAAGCGUGGGGAGCGAACAGGA